rnacentral:rRNA from 1 species
AGAGUUUGAUUCUGGCUCAGGAUGAACGCUGGCGGCGUGCUUAACACAUGCAAGUCGAACGAAGCACUUAAGCGGAUCCCUUCGGGGUGAAGCUUAAGUGACUUAGUGGCGGACGGGUGAGUAACGCGUGGGUAACCUGCCUCAUACAGGGGGAUAACAGUUGGAAACGACUGCUAAGACCGCAUAAAACAGUAGUGCCGCAUGACACAACUGUCAAAUAUUUAUAGGUAUGAGAUGGGCCCGCGUCUGAUUAGCUAGUUGGUGGGGUAAUGGCCUACCAAGGCGACGAUCAGUAGCCGGCUUGAGAGAGUGACCGGCCACAUUGGGACUGAGACACGGCCCAA